rnacentral:tRNA from 1 species
GGUGAUAUAGCUCAGUUGGUAGAAUGACUGCCUCACAUGCACAAGUUCCUGGGUUCAAUCCCUAGUACCACUG